CCAGUCCCUUCUACCCCCAUCACAUUUAGGGUUUCAUUAGUUAAUUUAAGCCCUGAUACUUUACAGGCCAGUAAUGACCUAGCUGCCCCAGUGUAUUGGGUUCACAUGGCAAGGUUCUGGGGGUGUGGGGGGUG